rnacentral:rRNA from 1 species
GCUUAUCACCAUUCCAGAUUGAGAAUUCCCAAUCUCGUCUGAUCUCGGAAGUCAAGCAAUCUCGGGCUUGGUUAGUACUUGGAUGGGUGACCGCUUGGGAAUCCCAAGGUUGAUAAGCA